GGAUAACCUGCCCUAAGGAAGGGGAUAACCUCGGGAAACUGAGGAUAAUACCCUAUAGGUUACAGACGCUGGAAUGCCCUGUAACCGAAAGUUCCGGCGCCUUAGGAUGGAUCUGCGGCCGAUUAGGUUGUUGUUGGGGUAACGGCCCAACAAGCCGAUAAUCGGUACGGGUUGUGGGAGCAAGAGCCCGGAGUUGGAUUCUGAGACAUGAAUCCAGGCCCUACGGGGCGCAGCAGGCGCGAAAACUUUACAAUGCGGGAAACCGUGAUAAGGGAACCCCGAGUGCCUGUAUAUGCAGGCUGUCCAGGUGUCUAAAAAACACCUGAAGAAAGGGCCGGGCAAGACCGGUGCCAGCCGCCGCGGUAAUACCGGCGGCUCGAGUGGUGGCCACUUUUAUUGGGCUUAAAGCGUUCGUAGCUGGGUUGUUAAGUCUCUUGGGAAAUCUGACGGCUCAACCGUCAGGCGUCCAAGGGAUACUGGCAAUCUUGGAACCGGGAGAGGUGAGGGGUACUUCGGGGGUAGGAGUGAAAUCCUGUAAUCCUCGAGGGACCACCUGUGGCGAAGGCGCCUCACCAGAACGGCUUCGACAGUGAGGGACGAAAGCUGGGGGAGCAAACCGGAUUAGAUACCCGGGUAGUCCCAGCCGUAAACGAUGCGCGUUAGGUGUAUCGGUGACCACGAGUCACCGAGGUGCCGAAGGGAAACCGUGAAACGUGCCGCCUGGGAAGUACGGUCGCAAGGCUGAAACUUAA
rnacentral:rRNA from 1 species